CCCAGCGGCAAAGUUCGAAGUUAAAAUCGCGUCGUCUGCUAACUAAAAACAAACUAGGCCAGAACUCAACGGCUUAAAGCUGUAAAAAGUGACACGUAUAACGAUUCAAUGUUUUUUGUAUUAACAUCGUGGAGAAUCUCACCGAUUUGAAGGGCUGGUCCUAUCCUGAAAAAAAAGAAAAGAAAAAGAAUUGCAAGUGUAGACGCUGUACGUCACGCCAGGACAAACAAUUGCCCCACAUCGCAGACGGGCCGUGUGUUUCCUAUGGAUAUAACACGGCGUCUAUUAUCAUAGCUUUACAACACAGCCCUAAACUGUUCGCCUAAAUCUAUAUACAUUUUCGGAGAAAAAGAGAAAAAAACCGCUAGCUGCGGGAUAGUUAUGCAGAAUUGGCGUCUCCGCUGUUGUGUGCCGUUAGUUCCCCCCCACCUCCUUCAACAACAUUAGACCCGACAUGACCAUGCAUCACAUUCGGCUCUAGAGAUGAGCCCAUCACCGCCAUUUGUUUAUAAGGCUUUUCUGCAGUCCAAUAAAGAACAAAGACUUCAACAUGGCACGCAGCAAAGUUUAAGGUAAUCAGACAAAACGGUGUCAACGUAUCUCUCUCUAUCCGUGUCGUGCCGAAAAGGCUAUAAGAAGACGCUGGGAAAACGCGUUGGGUCGAGUGCAUCACGGGGGGAGGCCAAAAUAGAAGGACGUGAUGGAGAGAUACGACCGACAUCGAUGACAGCCAACGGCCACGACUGCCGUCCAAACAAAAAGCGACGAACAAAAAAGAAAGGGGGGAAAUCCAAUAGACAUCAAAGUAAAAAAGAAAAGCCAUGGAAACGUGAUCGCAGUCCAGCGAUACUAAGACCAGGCGAUCAUCGCUAUACAGACAAAUUCGUGUGUCUCUCAAUCCUGACAUGAAACAACGAUAGGAUCUACUUAAAUGGAAAGUUGUAAAUUUGCUUAAAACUUCACUGUGCGAUAUCGAUCGUGUUCUUCGAUUUUAAUGCUGAAAACAAAACAAAAAUGUGUGUUUGAUAUGUACAUUACGAUGCAUCGGAGCUAUUUACGGGCGGAUGCUUAAAUUUUUGUGACGUUCGUUUGAUUAAUGUCAUGGGCUUUGUUAAGUCAAAUUGACUUGAAGCUAAAAGAGUAUGUGAUGUUGGGUUUAUGUCAUCACUUUCAUGGGUGAUUUUCUACAUGCUGCCUAUCCUAAAAAUGAUCGCCUAUCCUCUACACUUACAGCUGUGUCCUUGCAAAUUACCUGCAGCUGUGGAAUUUCUAGAGUUGUGGAACGGUAAAUUACUAAAGAAAGGUCAUCCCUGUCUCCUGAAUGCCACAGUUUUUUGCCCCAUCCUUAUGUCAUCGUGUGACAUUCAAACGUAUCAAUUUCAGUUCUCUAUAAUCUUCCACCGCAGUCACAACGUCAAUCGUGCAAGGCUGGUACUCUAGUGACUCCCUCUGCCAUUCGUAUUUCGACUUCGUGUUGAUUUCGAUUGUGCAAAUCAACUUAAACCAGAUGCCCGUUACGCUUUUCAGCUUAAGGACAUGUUUGAUUGAAACUGACAGAACGGAAUGGAGAAGCCUUCUUGAGGCUGUUUUUGCAAAAGAGGCAAGAAUUCGCAAGAAGAUUCUUCUUCGAGAAUUGUUCUGCCCAGCAGCGUCACUCCAGCUCGUUACGGUCGGCUAGAUUUCAAAGUGAGGCUUCAACCGACUACGUCGUUGAAUGAAGGUGCAGUUCCUAUCCGCAGCCCUACAGUGUGCAAAAAUAGACAGUGGGAAAAAUCUGCUCAUUGUGCUGAUCUGCACAAUGCUGGCUUCACGUAAGUGACCUAUCAACUUAUAUCGACAUUUUGGACUACACAGUAUUAAAAGACUCUUCCCUUAUAAGGAAAUUUGUAGUUGAGGACUUUCUUUAGGUGACCCUUUAAUCACAAAUAUUUUCCUGCCUCUUGGAACGUGGAACAUAGGAUGUCUUGAUGCCAACCAAGUGUCAUUGAAAGAUUGUAAAAAGAUGGUUCAGCAGGAAAAAACCUAAAGCUGGAGGAUGAUUUGGAUUUGUUUCUUGUUACUAGUUUUGUAAACAAAGGGUAAAUUGGUAAAAUGAAACAAUACAUGACCUAUUGCUUUAGAUCUAUUGUUUUCACAAAUGGAUAUCACCCAUGGCUUUGUGGAUGGGUUGCCUUGGAAGCUGAAGAUUUUGAAUCAAUCUCCAUUUUUGAAAACAAUUUAUUUAAAGUAAUAGCAGAGUAAUAGAAAAUUCUAUUACUCUGGUAAUAGGUCACAUGUUGUUUUACUUUACCGACUUUAUCGUAUUCAACAAUUUAUUAUAAUAUAUUUAUAAUAAUUUAUUUUUCCCCCUUUAACUUGUGUAUUAGUUUGUAAAAAUAAGUCUGGCUUAAAAAGUAAGACUUAAUUACUAAAAUAGAUUUCGAUAGAUGGCAGCGCAGAUGCAGAUUGGCAGUGCAUCUAUGUUUUUUUUUGGUCCCGAUCUGGCAACGUCAAUGCAAUUAAACAUUCGUCUGCCAUCGCUUAACUGAAGGAAGCAUGGGUCACCACGAAUAAUCUUCUGAUACGUUGUCCAUUUUUUAAAAAUCUGUUAUUAUUUCAAUAUGGCUUUUCGUAAUUCCUUGGGUAUUGACACUCUCUAACCAACAAAGAAACUGCCUAUUUCACGUUACUUUUAUCAAUUUUUUCAUAGCUGUACAUUAUUUAAUUAUAGAGAACAUCUUGCCAUUCAUACGAAUGCCUUUGUCUGAUCUGAUCGUGUCAACAUGCUAAUUCCCCUUCUUGCCACUGGUCGAAGCUUUUUUGUCAAAUUUGUAUCUUUCCAUUUAAACGUAUCUCACACAAGCAUUCUGGCAUGUGUCAGGAUAUAGGUAACAGAAAUGGCAUGGUCCCCUUUGGGUGUUGAGCCUGGCCUACACCCUCCGUGUUGGAACAAAUAAUAACAUGGAGGUGGAGCAUCAAUUUUGGACUUGAUUUGUCACCAUUGGCUGAUUUGGAAAAACAGAUUGGACCAACCAUUUUAUUCCCACACUCAUUGGAAUUUUGGCAUGGUAGCUGUUGCAGGACACUCUCCUUGGUUUGUUAGUGAGGUUUCAGAAAGCAGCAUUCCAAGAGCAAGAAUCUAAUUUACUGGCUGUCAACCCAAUAUAGAUUAUUUAACUUUGUCUUCUUGCAUUGAUGGUGAAAUUGAAUAAUAUUGAAAUUUAAAAGUU